UCCGGUUUGGCACCGGCAGUCCUCCCAGAGCCCUCGACAUGACUCGCUAGCAACUGGCGGCGAGGGUUGCGCUCGUUGCGGGACUUAACCCAACACCUCACGGCACGAGCUGACGACAGCCGUGCAGCAUCUGUGCGCGCUCCCUUGCGGGUCCUCCCCGUUUCCGGGUCGUACCACGCGCAUGUCAAGCCCGGGUAAGGUUCUUCGCGUUGCGUCGUAUUAAACCACACGCUCCGCUGCUUGUGCGGGCCCCCGUCAAUUCCUUUGAGUUUUAGCCUUGCGGCCGUAGUCCCCAGGCGGCGCACUUACCGCGUUAGCUGCGGCACCGGGGGGGUCGAUACCCCCGACACCUAGUGCGCAUCGUUUACGGCGUGGACUAC
rnacentral:misc_RNA from 1 species